UGGGGUGGGUGGACAAAGGAAGCUUGCAAGGAAAUCUGAGAAGCCAAGCACAUCCAUCAGUGGAUAUUAGGGCUGUGAAUGGGGAGCUUGCUGAGCACUCUACUGGAAGCUAUGCCUCUCUGUAACUGUAACUUCUGUGUGUGUCCACUGCUAUGUCUGGUGGUGGGCCUUCAACUACUGUUGAUCAGCAGGGCUAGCAGCUGGGAAGAAGAGUCUAGUGUAGAAAGGAGCAAUUCCAGGUGUGGAAUCCAGCAAUUCCAUACCUGGGUAUAUAUCUGGAAAAAACAAAAGUCACUAAUUUGAAAAGAUACAUGCACCCCAAUGCUUAUGAAUCAUGAGUGGAACCUCUGAGCAGUAUCCCACUAGGGGAAGAGGAAGCUGGGGCCCUUAUUCUCUCAUUCUUCUCAGUCACUUGCUGAGAGCUGUUCCCAUGGGUAUUAACUUCCCAGCACUUAGAACCUGCUCUACCCCUAGGCUGAGAGAAAGCCCUCAGGCAGUCAUGAGGCAGCAGUAGGACACUGCAUGUACAGAAAUAGAGUGUAUCCCUGGUGACUCAGAUGAUAAAGAAUCCACCUGCAAUGCAGAAGACCCAGGUUUGAUCCCUGGGUCAAGAAGAUCCUCUGGAGAAAGGAAUGGCUAUCCAAUCCAGUAUUCUUGCCUGGAGAAUUCCAUGGACAGAGGAGCCUGGUAAGUUACAAUUCCCAAGGUCACAGAGAGUCAGACUCAACAUAGUGACUAACACCUUCACUUUUCACAUUUUUGUUCCUAGGAAAUGUACUCUAAAUUGUUGAGACAAAGGGCAAUAAUAUAUCUAUUCCCAAACAUGUCUUCUUUAAAAACUUAGGUUGCUUUAUAUAGUGAAGAACUUACACCAAGCCUCCUCGAAUUAUUAAAAAUUCAAGAGGAGAGAACAUUCCCAAAUUCAUUCUGUAAGAUCACCAUUACCUUGAUAUCAAAACCAGAUAAAGACACUACCAAAAAAGAAAACUACAGGCUAAUAACUUUGAUGAAUAUAGAUGCAAAAAAACCUCAACAAAAUAUUAGCAAACCAAAUCUAACAAUAUACAGAAAGGAUCAUACACCAUGAUCAAGUGGAAAUUAUUACAGUCAGAAGGAUGGUUCAACCUAUACAAAUCAAACCAUGUGAUACAUCACAUUAACAAAAGACAAAAUCCACAUGAUCAUCCAAUUGAUGCAGAAAAAGCAUUUGACAAAAGCUUAAGAGCUUUUUGCACAGCAAAGGAAACGAUCAACAAAACAAAAAGACAACCUACUGAAUGGUAGAAAAUAUUUGCAAAUUAUGUGACUGACAAGUGGUUAAUACAAAAUAUACAAGUCACUCAUACAACUAAAUAUAAAUAAAAUGAAACAAAACAACAAUAACCGACCCCCCCCCAAACAAUCCAGUCAAAAAAUGGGC
ensembl:lncRNA